rnacentral:rRNA from 1 species
UACGGAGGGGGCUAGCGUUGUUCGGAAUUACUGGGCGUAAAGCGCCCGUAGGCGGCUUUGUAAGUUAGAGGUGAAAGCCCGGGGCUCAACUCUGGAAUUGCCUUUAAGACUGCAUCGCUAGAAUUGUGGAGAGGUAAGUGGAAUUCCGAGUGUAGAGGUGAAAUUCGUAGAUAUUCGGAAGAACACCAGUGGCGAAGGCGACUUACUGGACACAUAUUGACGCUGAGGUGCGAAAGCGUGGGGAGCAAACAGG